GCCAAUAAAAUGGCAAAUAAGAACGCGUAAGUGAGCUUGUAUAAAGAAAGCUCAUGGUUUCUAAUCACAGUGUGUGAAACUUGCUUUAGAAAAAUUUAACGAAGUUGACCAAAAUGUCAAUUGUUGUAACGGGGUGAUGAUACUUUGAUUCCCCACACCUUUUGCAGUGCUGCCCUAUGCUUUUAAAAUGCAACAAGAAUUCUUAAAAUAUACACAUCCUGCGAGCCUCCUUCGCAGAUGGCUCCUGGAAGAGAGGAGAUAGUGCAGGUGACACGCCCUAGGCUGAAGGGGGCUCCGAGGGCCUGACUCAGCAGCGUGCGGACCGGGGCGAACCUGGGCCCCGGGACCCCGGGAUGCGAUCCCGCCCCUGCCUCCUUGCUCACCCACCACCGCCCCGCUGGGGAUCUCAGAGCGCAGUGGGGCCAGCCCUCCUCCCAGCCCCCCGAGCGGGCUGGCCCCGGCCACCCUCCCCGCGAAGUUUCUCCUCGGUAGGCUCCAUGCCUAGCACAGAGCCCACCAGGGAGCUCUUCGGAGAGCUGGCAUUCACAAUUCUGACAUCAAGACCUGAGCUGACACCAAGAGCCGGACUCUCAACCGACUGAGCCACUCAGGUGCCCCUGUUUUGUAAUAUCAGGAUGUACCACAUGGAAUCAAGAAAAAAGAAGCAACACUAAAAAACAGAAAAAGACCCUGGCUUUCCAAGUCUGUAGCAUCUUUUCGGUUGCUCUGUUUCAAGGACGAGGAAGUGAGCCAGUUGACGUGGGAGAGAACAUUCCUGGAUGAAGGACAAGGGGACAAGAGAAAAUGGGUGAAGCGCUGGUGUUUAAGGAGAGUGAUUUGGAGCCAGAUCGCUCAGGGCCUUGAAACCCAGGGAGAAGCGCCAUCAGGUGUAAGCCUUAGGAAGCUCACUCUGGCCUGAGUGUAGAGGAUGGGCGGGGGAGAAGGAGGUGGGAGAGGCUGUUAUGACCCAGAGGACAGAUACUGACAUCAGAACUCAAGUGGUGGAAGGGAGAGGGUGAGCGGAGCUGGGAACUACAGAGAAGGUGGAAGAGCUUUCUGGUUGGGGCCACUGGGAGUUCAGUCCUGAGUGAGGAAAGAAGACAAAUCAGUUUAGGAUCGGCUGACUGUGAGAUGCCUGUGGGAUAGGCAGGUGGAAAUACCCCGGGGACCAUUGGAUAAGCACUUCCAGAAACCAGCAGGGCCAGAGGUCUGGUUUAGGGAGCUAUUGGCAUCUAGGUGGUAAUUGAAGCCAAGAGUAGAGCAGCAGGGGGUGGGGGUGGGGGUACUGCUGUCAAUAUCUGGAGACAUUUUUGAUUGUCGUAGUGGGGUAGGGGCUGAGCUUCCACUGGCAUCUAGUAGGAGGAGGCCAGAGAGGCUACUAAACUUCCCAGAAUGCACAGGAGCCAGUAAAGAAUUACCUGACCUCAGUGUCAGCAGUGCUGAGGUCCAGAAAACCUGGAGAUGGGGGUGUGUGAAGAGCAGGAAGAGGAUGGUUAUGGAGCCCUAGCAGAGAAGCAGGCCUUUAAGGAGGCUGAAAAGGAACCAUCAGAGAGAAGCCACUGACCAGGGAAACUUCCUGUUACGUGAGCUAUUGGCAAAUCACUGUCAAGUACAGGGUAAUGGAUUAAGUGCUAAGGCAGGGCCUGAAGAGGGAGGCCGGUGAGGGAAUCUCCAGAUGAAUCCUGCACUGCUGCCCCACCCCCAGCAGAAACGCCACAGACCGGCUGCCAGUGGACCCCCUGGGGACGCCAAAGAGCUUUACAGAGAAGGCCUCUUACCUUCUUCUCAGCCUUGCUCAAAAGACAGGCCAUGGAGAAAGGGAAAUUCCUGCAGCGUUGGGACUUGGGACUCGCGGUUAAACAGAGGCAGCAAGUUUCAACCGGCUGCGCAAGGAAGAGCCUCUCCAAGUUUGCCUCUUCAGCUGCCUGGCAGGAAAAGGGUCAGGAGUUCAGCCGUUUCUCAAAACUGUACUUUCUUCCCUUGUAGGAAUUUGGGCUGCAAAUAUUUUUCACUAAGCCAGGGGGUUUCGACUCACUGGAUUCUACUGCUGGGAAUGACUUCCGAUGUCAUCCGGGUUAUCCCCUGUGCUUGAUAUUUCGCUGGCCUGGUUUGGCAUCUUGGGAGCUUGGGUCCCGUUCUAGCUGAAACUGGCAUACCUCUCGAGUUGGCGACUGGCGACGCUGUGUUUGGACGCUCUGGCUUCCCCUAAAUAGAACCUGACUCCUUGGAUGAAUCUCGAAAUAAUAUUUGUGUCAUUUGUCCUCUCCACUUGCCAUGUUUAAUUUACGUGCCCUAAAAAAAUAAUAAGACGGUGUAUUUAAAGUGCUUAGCCCCAUACCUAGCCCGUUGUAAAUGCUCAAUAAAAUGUCAGCUGUA